rnacentral:rRNA from 1 species
UACGGGGGGGGCAAGCGUUGUUCGGAAUUACUGGGCGUAAAGGGCGCGUAGGCGGUCAGAUAAGUCAGCUGUGAAAACCUCGGGCUUAACCCGAGGCCUGCAGUUGAAACUGUUUGGCUGGAGCGUGGGAGAGGAGAGUGGAAUUCCUGGUGUAGCGGUGAAAUGCGCAGAUAUCAGGAGGAACACCUAUUGCGAAGGCAGCUCGCUGGGACGUAACUGACGCUGAGACGCGAAAGCGUGGGGAGCAAACAGG